GGGAGAGACUGGGGGAAGCUCUGCUUCAGCUGUGGGCCCAGAAGGCAGGACUCCGGGAUCCUCCACCAUGGCCUGGUCCCCUCUCCUGCUCACCCUCCUGGCUCACUGCACAGGGUCCUGGGCCCAGUCUGUGCUGACUCAGCCGUCCUCAGUGUCUGGGGCCCUGGGACAGAGGGUCACCAUCUCCUGCACUGGAAGCAGCAGCAACAUCGGGUAUGGGUAUAAUGUGCACUGGUACCAACAGCUCCCAGAGAAAGCACCCAGACUCCUCAUCUAUGAAAACAACAAACGGCCCUCAGGGGUCUCUGAUCGAUUCUCGGGCUCCAAGUCUGGCAACUCAGGCUCCCUGACCAUCUCAGGGCUCCAGGCUGAGGACGAGGCUGUCUAUUACUGUCACUCCUACGAUCGCAAUCUCGAUAGUCACACAGUGCUCCAGGCCAGGGGGGAACCCGAUACUGGGCAGUAUCAGGGUAUGGGGUAUCAAAAACAACAGGAAGACGACCAUUGA